UGACGAGUGGCGGACGGGUGAGUAAUGUCUGGGAAACUGCCUGAUGGAGGGGGAUAACUACUGGAAACGGUGGCUAAUACCGCAUAACGUCGCAAGACCAAAGAGGGGGACCUUCGGGCCUCUUGCCAUCAGAUGUGCCCAGAUGGGAUUAGCUUGUUGGUGAGGUAACGGCUCACCAAGGCGACGAUCCCUAGCUGGUCUGAGAGGAUGACCAGCCACACUGGAACUGAGACACGGUCCAGACUCCUACGGGAGGCAGCAGUGGGGAAUAUUGCACAAUGGGCGCAAGCCUGAUGCAGCCAUGCCGCGUGUAUGAAGAAGGCCUUCGGGUUGUAAAGUACUUUCAGCGGGGAGGAAGGUGUUGUGGUUAAUAACCGCAGCAAUUGACGUUACCCGCAGAAGAAGCACCGGCUAACUCCGUGCCAGCAGCCGCGGUAAUACGGAGGGUGCAAGCGUUAAUCGGAAUUACUGGGCGUAAAGCGCACGCAGGCGGUCUGUCAAGUCGGAUGUGAAAUCCCCGGGCUCAACCUGGGAACUGCAUUCGAAACUGGCAGGCUUGAGUCUUGUAGAGGGGGGUAGAAUUCCAGGUGUAGCGGUGAAAUGCGUAGAGAUCUGGAGGAAUACCGGUGGCGAAGGCGGCCCCCUGGACAAAGACUGACGCUCAGGUGCGAAAGCGUGGGGAGCAAACAGGAUUAGAUACCCUGGUAGUCCACGCCGUAAACGAUGUCUACUUGGAGGUUGUGCCCUUGAGGCGUGGCUUCCGGAGCUAACGCGUUAAGUAGACCGCCUGGGGAGUACGGCCGCAAGGUUAAAACUCAAAUGAAUUGACGGGGGCCCGCACAAGCGGUGGAGCAUGUGGUUUAAUUCGAUGCAACGCGAAGAACCUUACCUGGUCUUGACAUCCACAGAAGAAUCCAGAGAUGGAUUUGUGCCUUCGGGAACUGUGAGACAGGUGCUGCAUGGCUGUCGUCAGCUCGUGUUGUGAAAUGUUGGGUUAAGUCCCGCAACGAGCGCAACCCUUAUCCUUUGUUGCCAGCGGUCCGGCCGGGAACUCAAAGGAGACUGCCAGUGAUAAACUGGAGGAAGGUGGGGAUGACGUCAAGUCAUCAUGGCCCUUACGACCAGGGCUACACACGUGCUACAAUGGCGCAUACAAAGAGAAGCGACCUCGCGAGAGCAAGCGGACCUCAUAAAGUGCGUCGUAGUCCGGAUUGGAGUCUGCAACUCGACUCCAUGAAGUCGGAAUCGCUAGUAAUCGUGGAUCAGAAUGCCACGGUGAAUACGUUCCCGGGCCUUGUACACACCGCCCGUCACACCAUGGGAGUGGGUUGCAAAAGAAGUAGGUAGCUUAACCUUCGGGAGGGCGCUUACCACUUUGUGAUUCAUGACUGGGGUGAAGUCGUAACAAGGUAACCGUAGGGGAACCUGCGGUUGGAUCACCUCCUUACCUU
rnacentral:rRNA from 1 species